rnacentral:lncRNA from 1 species
GGGUGGGCUAUAGCCUUGGGGGGUGGGGCAGGCCAACUUAGUCCGCCGGACUCGGAAUGGCGCGAGACUUUGUGAACGGCCUCCGUGUGCCAAAAAUAGGCUACGGGCACAGCCGCACCCAAAAAUAACCGCCCGAAGGACGGGGUGCCAAGUUCGUCCAGCGGAAAAAGGCCCAAAAAACGGGUGGGCUAUAGCCUUGGGGGGUGGGGCGGGGCGACUUCGUCCGCCGGACUCGGAAUGGCGCGAGACUUUGCGAGCGGCCUCCGUGUGCUAAAAAUAGGCCGUGCCCAAAAAUAACCGCCCGAAGGCCGGGGCGCCAAAUUCGUCCAGCGGAAAAAGGCCACAAAAACGGGUGGGCUAUAGCCUUGGGGGGUGGGGCUGGCCGACUUCGUCCGCCGGACUCGUAAUGGCGUGGGAGUUUGCGAGCGGCCUCCGUGUGCCAAAAAUCGGCCGCGGGCACAGCCGCGCCCAAAAUAACCGCCCGAACGCUGGGGCGCCAAGUUCGUCCAGCGGAAAAAAGCCACAAAAACGGGUGGGCUAUAUCCUUGGGGGGUGGGGCCGGCCCACUUCGUCCGCCGGACACGGAAUGGCGUGAGAAUUUGCGAGCGGCCUCCGUGUGCCAAAAAUAGGCCGCGAGCACAGCCGCGCCCAAAAAUAACUGCCCGAAUGCCGGGGCGCCAAGUUUGUCCAGCGGAAAAAGGCCACAAAAACGGGUGGUCUAUAGCUUUGGGGGGUGGGGCUGGCCAACUUCGUGCGCCGGAAUCGGAAUAGCGCGAGACUAUGCGAGGCGCCUCCGUGUGCCAAAAUAGGCCGCGGGCACAGCCACGCCCAAAA